AUGCACGCUUGCUAGUGCCUAAACAUGCAGUCGAGCGAUUCUCUUCGGAGAGAGCGGCGGACGGGUGAGUAACGCGUGGGUAACCUGCCCCUGAAUCUGGAAUAACUUCGCGAAAGCGAGGCUAAUACCGGAUAUUGUCCCAGGGACCUCGGUCUCUGUGAUGAAAGAUGACCUCUUCACGAAAGUUGUCGUUCAGGGAGGGGCCCGCGUACCAUUAGCUAGUUGGUAGGGUAAUGGCCUACCAAGGCGAUGAUGGUUAGCUGGUCUGAGAGGAUGACCAGCCACACUGGCACUGAAACACGGGCCAGACUCCUACGGGAGGCAGCAGUGAGGAAUUUUGCGCAAUAGGGGAAACCCUGACGCAGCAACGCCGCGUGAGUGAAGAAGGCCCUCGGGUCGUAAAGCUCUGUCAAGUGGGAAAAAAGCUUGCUGGUAAAUAGCCAGCAAGACUGAUGGUACCAUUGAAGGAAGCACCGGCUAACUCCGUGCCAGCAGCCGCGGUAAUACGGAGGGUGCAAGCGUUGUUCGGAAUUACUGGGCGUAAAGGGCGUGUAGGCGGUGUGGUAAGUCAGAUGUGAAAGCCCUGGGCUUAACCCAGGAAGUGCAUUUGAAACUGCCAUGCUUGAGUAUGGGAGAGGAGAGUGGAAUUCCCAGUGUAGAGGUGAAAUUCGUAGAUAUUGGGAGGAACACCCGUGGCGAAGGCGACUCUCUGGACCAAUACUGACGCUGAGGCGCGAAAGCGUGGGGAGCAAACAGGAUUAGAUACCCUGGUAGUCCACGCUGUAAACGAUGAGCACUAGGUGUAGCGGGUAUUGACCCCUGCUGUGCCGUAGCUAACGCAUUAAGUGCUCCGCCUGGGGAGUACGGCCGCAAGGCUA
rnacentral:rRNA from 1 species